CAUGUAGGCGGGAAUCUAAGUCUGUUGUGAAAAUGCGGGGCUCAACCCCGUAUGGCGAUGGAAACUGGAUUUCUUGAGUGCAGGAGAGGAAAGGGGAAUUCCCAGUGUAGCGGUGAAAUGCGUAGAUAUUGGGAGGAACACCAGUGGCGAAGGCGCCUUUCUGGACUGUGUCUGACGCUGAGAUGCGAAAGCCAGGGUAGCGAACGG
rnacentral:rRNA from 1 species